ACUGUCAUUCAUUUCUCCCCCUUUUCUCCUGUCUUUUUCCUCCAGGAAGGAAGGACACCAUCACAGAGAAACCUAUCCCGCCUGCAGAACCUGCUGAACCCGUGCUCUGCGGCAGUAUGGCCAUAGGAGCUGUGUCACUAGCUAUUGCCAAAACCAGCGCCAUACUGGGCAGUAUUCCUCUGUACUUGAACAUUGCAUUGCUGAAGCACAAUCAGGUUAGGAUCUGUUUUAUUCCACCAUGAGAAGCCCUGAGGGGCUCAAUGUGAAUGAAUCACAUUUCUCAUUUUCCCCUUCUUUCCUCUUAUUUUAGGAACAGCCAACAACACUAACUAUGCCUUUGCUGAUGGUAUCUCUCACCAGCUGUGGGAAGU
rnacentral:lncRNA from 1 species